CCCUUAGAUGUCCUGGGCCGCACGCGCGCUACACUGAUGCAUUCAACGAGUUGUUACCUUGGCCGAGAGGCCUGGGCAAUCUUUUGAACGUGCAUCGUGAUAGGGAUAGAUUAUUGAAAUUUUUAAUCUUGAACGAGGAAUUCCUAGUAAACGCAGAUCAUCAAUCUGCAUUGAUUACGUCCCUGCCCUUUGUACACACCGCCCGUCGCACCUACCGAUUGAAUGGUCCGGUGAAGCCUCGGGAUUGUGGCUCGUUCCCUUUAUUGGGAGUUUGUCGCGAGAACUUGUCUAAACCUUAUCAUUUAGAGGAAGGUGAANUCGUANCA
rnacentral:rRNA from 1 species